rnacentral:lncRNA from 1 species
GUAUUGUGUAAGGUGGUGGCUUAAUGUCUGCACCUACUAGCUGCUCAUGCGUGCGCAUUAUGCCAAGCGAGCAGUUUGAGCACUAACGGGGCCACAAACCUGCAGGCCUGCCCAUCUAUAUAUGCAAACCCAGCUCAUUCGAACAAUUCCACCAAUCGCAAUGAACAUUCAUGCUGAUAUAUACUGGAUUGUCUGAAACCACACGCGCGCUUGUCGACUGAGCUGACUAUAGACACCUAUCACUUCAUUUGAAACUGUAUACAAUCCUGCACGUUGACAAGAAAAAGGAAGAAGUCUGAGGAGAGGAUUCUCUCAUGUACAGCGCGCGAACAGAACAUCUGAAUGACUGAAAGUCUGAAACGUCAAAUACUCAAAGCACAAGCGAGAACAGAGUAAUCUACAGUAAGAAGCCAAUGCGAAAGUAUUAUUUCAACAAUAAGAGACGACGACCUGUAGCCUGAGUUGCAUUGCAGCCAGCCAGCCUCCAGGAGUGCUCAACUGCUGAUGCUGCCCUGCAUUUUCCCCCACUCCGGCCUCCAUCCACACAAAGGCAAGUCGCUGCAGCCUGCAGCUGCAGAGGUGUGCACUGGAGAAGAA